GUCCUAGCCGUAAACGGUGGGUGCUAGGUGUGGGGGUCGCAAGACUUCCGUGCCGCAGCUAACGCAUUAAGCACCCCGCCUGGGGAGUACGGCCGCAAGGCUAAAACUCAAAGGAAUUGACGGGGGCCCGCACAAGCGGCGGAGCGCGUGGCUUAAUUCGAUGCAAAGCGAAGAACCUUACCGGGGUUUGACAUGUUGGCAGUAGUCACCCGAAAGGGUCGGCGACCCGUAAAGUCGGGUACCAGCACAGGUGCUGCAUGGCUGUCGU
rnacentral:rRNA from 1 species